AAAUAGGGCAAAGAAAAGCCAUUCACAAUAGUAAUCAUUAAGUUUAUAGUAUAUACCCCCCCACAGAGAACAAUAAGCGUGGAAAGAUUUUUUUAUAAAAAUUAAAAAAAAAAAACAAAAAAAAAGGGCACAAAACAGCUUUUGAGACAAAACUAAAGCCGCGAUCCCCACCGGGCAACAACCUUGUAGACAAGACAAGGGACAGAGAAAGCUGCACUGUUGCCACCACCGCAACGACAUCAACAAAGUAAAAACUACAGCUACAGCUAAUACGGACAACAAAACAAUAUUAAUAACCGCAACGGCAGCCGGCCAGCAUGCCAUGCAUGAUAUCAUUAUACUUCCUCUUGAGCAUGGCUGCUACUCUUC